AGCGCGGCCAGCAGGCAGCGCCGCCCGCCCGGGGCCCCAGCCCGGCCCGCGAGGGGUCCCCCGCCCACCCCGCGCCCGGGGCGCACCUGGGGGGGGGUCACAGCAGGGCACGCGAACGUCCAGAAAGCGGGGCUCCUUUGCACUUUCUUGCUGACAUCGCAGCGGCCGGGAGCGUCCGCGAGCGCGCAGCUCCCCGGGCCCCCCCAACCCCCCCAACCCCCAGCCCGGAGCCGGAGACGCGCCCCUGCCCGGUCCCCGCGGGGAGCAGCGGCGCCUGCAAACUGAGGGUGCCCUCCGCGCCCCCCACGGCCCCGGGGCGCGGCCCCCCGCGAGCCCGCGAGCACGUGACGGCCCCGGGAGCCAAAGCAGCCCCUCCGCGGGCCCCGGCGCCCCUCCCCGCGCACCCUCCCCGCGCGCGCCUACCUCUCGGACUUGGUGAACUUGCGGAACGCCUGUCGGAGGUCGUGGAAGGAGCGAUGACGCAGCGCUUGUAACUGGAGCCUAAAGACUUGGUGGGGUGUGUGUGCGCGAGGCGCGGGGUGAGCUGUUCCCUGAACGCGAGUCUGCCUGGGGCCGGUGCAACCUGCAGACCUGCAGACCUCGGCCGCUGCUUGCACUUCUGACCUCCCCUCCGCCCUGGAUGAGGAGAAUGUCGCCAUCUAGUGCCCUUGGAGAAGUUUGCUAAAUGAAAAUCGUAACUCCGAUGAAGUGAGGUUGUGUCCAGAAAUACCCGCACCAGGAUUUCCAUGUUCCUCGUGGGAGAGAAAUAAAGGAAAUAUGCUGAAUUUUGUAUCAGAGUAAAACACCUCUAAGAAUUAAAAAUUCGGUCUUUUGGCCACUGGA